rnacentral:rRNA from 1 species
GAUGAACGCUGGCGGCGUGCCUAAUACAUGCAAGUCGAGCGAAGAGGGGACGGGGGAGUAACACGUGGAUAACCUCCUAAAAGAAUGGGAUAAAUUAGGGAAACCGGUGCUAAACCGGAAACUAAUAGAAGGAGCCGCGCUGCAUUAGCUAGUUGGAAAGGGAACGGCUUACCAAGGCAACGAUGCCUAGCCGGCCUGAGAGGGUGACCGGCCACCCUGGAACUGAGACCCGGUCCAGCCUCCUACGGGAGGCAGCAGUCGGGAAUCUUCCGCAAUGGGCGCAAGCCUGACGGAGCAACGCCGCGUGUAUGAUGAAGUUCUUCGGUUCUUAAAACUCUGUUAUUCGGGAGGCGUUACCUGCUCAGUAAGCCCCGGCUAACUCCGUGCCAGCAGCCGCGGUAAUUC